rnacentral:rRNA from 1 species
AUGGCACUUGACAACAUCUAUGGUAAGUGGACUAACUCAUUUCAACUGUUGUAUACUUUCAAGGCAGAAGUUGAGAAAGCAUCUCCUGGCAGUGUUGUAAACAUUGAGUACAAAAUAAAUGGAAAAGGUAGACAUAAAGAGUGCUUUAGGAGAGUGUUUGUUUCUUUCAAAGCAUGCUGGCAAGGAUUUUUGGAUGGAUGUAGGCCUUAUCUU